rnacentral:rRNA from 1 species
AUGGCGGCGGAGGUCGAGGGCGCCCGGAAGCGCGGGGCGGCGGCCUUCCUGGACGACCCCUUCGAGGUGCUGCUGCAGGCGAAGCGGGGCCGGCGCUCGCCGUCCGCCGCCGCGGCCGCGGUCGCCGACCUCGGGAUCAGCAUGGAGUUCGACCCCGUCGCGGCGCUCCAGGAAAUCUUCCCCGGCGCCGAGCCGCAGCUUCUGCGAGGCUAUCUCGAAGCGUCGGGAAAUGUCCUGGACGCUGCCAUCAGAAGCUUCAGGGAUUAUUUGGCAUCGGAUUCAGCGACGACCAAUGCCGGUGCCUCCUCAUCUGGAGUGGCAUCUGAUGCGCCGGUGAUGAAUGCUCCAACCAACAGCACUGAAUGGGUGGAGCUAAUUGUCAAGGAGAUGUCAGCCGCUUCGGAUUUGGCCGAUGCCAGGAAUCGAGCCUUCAGGAUACUUGAAAUGUUCGGCAAAUCUACGGCAAACUGCAGUACUCCUGAUGAAGAGCAGAAACUGCGUGAGGAGAACAAGAUACUGAAGCAGAUGCUUGGAGCCCUGCUUCAGCAGGCCAGCAUCCUGAAGCGAGCCGUCGUCAUCCAGGACAACCGGCUCAAGGACUACCAGAACAUGGUGCAGGAGCGGUCCCAGUUCAACGAGAUCGUCGCCAAGUACCAGCAGCAGAUCAAGGAGCUACAGGAUGUGAACUAUGCGCUGUCUACCCAUAUCAGGCAGGCGAAUCAACCGCGUGUCAUAUCCGGGCGCCGCAACCCCGACGUCUUCUAG